rnacentral:lncRNA from 10 species
UGAAAGCUCAGAAUGCAAACUUUCGCAACUAGAACCAUCUGGAGUGAGAGGGGUGGUGAUACAGAGCUGGGACAGAUUUCUCUGGGUGUUUCCUCCCCUACAGCAUGUUUUUUAGAAGUGAAAUCAGGUUACGAAGAGCACUAAGGCAGCUUUGAAGGGGAAGUCCUGAGAGAACAGGCUGCAGCUUCGGGGUGCGCAUCCUUUGAUACACCUGACCGGUACUCCUCAGAACUGUCAAGGUCAUCAAAAACAAG